UACAGGAGGUCUCAAGCGUUGUUCGGAUUCAUUGGGCGUAAAGGGUGCGUAGGCGGCGCGGUAAGUCGGGUGUGAAAUCUUGGAGCUUAACUCCGAAACUGCAUUCGAUACUGCCGUGCUUGAGGACUGGAGAGGAGACUGGAAUUUAGGUGUAGCGGUGAAAUGCGUAGAUAUCGUAAGGAAGACCAGUGGCGAAGGCGGGUCUCUGGACAGUUCCUGACGCUGAGGCACGAAGGUCAGGGGGAGCAAACGGG
rnacentral:rRNA from 1 species